ACACUUAACAAGUUCACUUGAUUAUUAAAACAAACAUACUCUUGUUUAUUGUUCAACCAGUGUCUUAUUAGUUACAAUUAAAAUCUAAUUUACGCAUAUUUACAACUCGCAUUCGCAGAGGCUACGAUCUAUUGUAUGCGGCAACAAGUUGUUAUAUGACUGCAAAUCAUAUCCACUUGAAUGCGAGGCAACACGUGGAUUUCUUGAUAGCCGAUCACUUAUCGUAACUGUAACUGGAAUAUACAUACAUACAUAUGUAUGGACAGUAAAUCACACACACACACGCACACAUACAUAUUUAUGUGCACACGCACACAUUUUCAGAAUUCGCCUCGAAUUGCCUAGCUGAAAUUCCAACAGAGAGCAACAACAAAACUGAUUGAAUUUACUUGGCGUCAGCGCCGGAGUUGGACGCCGGAGUAAACUGAGAGCUCCGAGUAAACAAAAGUCGCAAGCUUUUUGUUGAAACGAAGCUGGGUGUCAGGCGAGACCAAAAUGUUGUAGAAAAAAACAAAAAAAAAAAACAAUCAAAUCAGCAAAAAGUGAAAGAAAACAAAUUAACAAAACCGGCAAAUUUUGCGGCAUACGUGACAAUUAAGCAACUAUAAAUGGCGGCUAUGGGAUUGUUUUUUUUUUCUCUGUCUCUGCUGCAGAGAACCGUCGCAGCGCUCUCUCCGCUCAGCGGGGGUGAAAGUGCGCGUGCAACAUUGUUGGAAUAUAGGCGCUAGGAUAUACCGAAACUACAACUGGUUUAUGAAAUUCCAAAAUGAGUGAACUUGAAUUGAUAAACAUCAUCUGUGAUAAGGCAAAUGCGUAGCUAAAACAGAUUGAUACGAAGAAAACAAAAUGGCAUAAUCAGCUGAUGGUUAGCAUAACGUAAACGCACACGCCACCACAAGUAUGCGAGACACGUACAUAUAAUCGCAAGCAUGGCCAAAAAUAUAGACACGGUCACAUUCAUAAAAAGGCUAGAAUCUCUUUAUUUGCCUAGCUGAAACACUUAAAUGUCAACCGAUUAUGUAAUCAAGCAUAAAGCAAACGCAUUGUCUGCUGCCAACUCGAUGGCAAAUUGAUUUCUGUUAAAGAGCGGGGCACACUGUUACGUUCAGGUGCACUGGCAGCGUUGCCACAGCAAUGCAACACUUUCUAACCAAUUCUGACAGAAAAUUGUAUAAUAGCUGCUGUUUAAGAAAAACACACACUUACCCCAGGCAAUUGGCGAUGCAUCUGCUAAUGGCGAGCAUAUAUUCAAAACAAUAAACAAGACAGCUACACCAAACUGUUGCGAUGAACACAAUUUCAUUUUAUAUUUGAUGCGCGAAAAAUUGAAAUUACAGUGGAGAAUUGCAAAUGGAUGCACGAAUUUUAUUGUACGGUUAUUCCUCCUUCUGGCAAGUGCAAUUUGAGCUGGAAGUCAGAGUAAAUGUCGAGCGGGAAGCAUGUGCUGUCUAUUCUUACGUGAAUAUUCACUGAGGGGUUUUAAAAGAAACCGACCCAACGUAGUGCACAACCGAAUAACUUAUCAUUUACUAAA